AACCCGUAUGCUGUUGGGUGUGUUGGGUUCGGUGACACGCUACGGUGUUCGGGUCCA
rnacentral:pre_miRNA from 1 species